UCCGAGGUAGCUCAGUCGGUAGAGCAAGUGACUGUUAAUCACUGGGUCGUGGGUUCGAGUCCCACCCUCGGAG
rnacentral:tRNA from 1 species